GGACAAUGUACAGUGAAAGGAAGAACUGGAAACCCUUCAGUAAGCAACACAGCAGGAGCGCAGAGAGCAAGAUCCGUCCUCCUGCAAGAAUGAAUUGGCUGAGCUAAGGCAUGGACCUCUUCUUGUCAGACCAGCACCCAGGGAGCAAACCAUUGAAGUGGAAUCAAUCGAGGAAU